ensembl:lncRNA
GUGGAGUGAGGGAGCUGGUUCUUGGGGCGACACAAAACCCCCUAUCCCUGGUGCCAGGGGGCCGUCUAUCAAGACAGUCUGCAAUACAACAAGCUGACGCUGGUGUGCGCACUGCAGCUUUGACUCCAUUGGACUCUCAUCCACCACAGCACCACAGGCAGAGCGGCGACUACCCUAUUCAGUAGACUACAGCUUUCCCAGUUCCUGUUUCCGCCGCAGCCUUUCCACCCGAAUUUGUACCCAAACAUCUCUGCGUCAGAUUCAACUUCUUCAGCCCCGAUGGAUCUCGCCGAACGCCGCUGCUGCUGUGUGGCAAGGCUCCACAGCUGAAGGUAGCCCCUCCCCUCCGGCGCCGCUGACAGAGAGCGGUCAGGCUGCGGUUUGGAACUCGCCCCGCACCGAGGAGCCGAGGAAGCGGAGCGCGCGCGAACACGGAAGAGAGACGUGCGGCAAAGCGACACGGCGUCACCGCGGCUGGACCCUCGCGCAGAAACGCCGGACGUCUUUGCGCCAGCCAUGCUUUAGCACGCCCCCUCCGUCCGGUUUUAACCUGAGACACACCCCUCCCUCCCCUUCUCCCCCCCCGCACAUCCAUCCCGAGUGUACAGCCACCCAGGGCGGCAAGAUGCCAAUGCUAACACCGGCGACGCAGCGGAAGCACUUG